rnacentral:tmRNA from 1 species
GGGGCUGACUUUGGUUUUGACGGCGUGCAAGGUCAGCAUGUAAGCAUGCCGGAACAGGUAACAGUUUCCGUAAUCAUGGUUACAAAAAAUUAACUGGCAAUAAUUACGAUUAUGCUCUCGCUGCCUAAUUGAAGUAUAGUAGAUUAGCCUAUUUCCCUACAAGGUAGGGAAACGAGACAUCUCCCGUCGGCUCCGUCCGCUGCCAAAACGAUCAGGAGGUGCAAAGUAACUGCGGAAUAGUCAAGGCUCCGCCUCGUGGCCAAGAUGAAAAGUAGAGGAUAAGGAACAGGUUAGAGGGCCUUCACCCGGACUUGUUCUCGAAAACCAAAAGAAGGCUAAGCAUGUAGAAAGCAUGGGGGUCUCAUGAUCGGACCGGGGUUCGACCCCCCGCAGCUCCACAA